UACGUAGGUGGCAAGCGUUGUCCGGAUUUACUGGGCGUAAAGAGCGCGCAGGCGGUCGUUCAAGUCGCGUGUGAAAGCCCCCGGCUCAACUGGGGAGGGUCACGCGAUACUGAUCGACUCGAAGGCAGGAGAGGGAAGUGGAAUUCCCGGUGUAGUGGUGAAAUGCGUAGAUAUCGGGAGGAACACCAGUGGCGAAGGCGACUUCCUGGCCUUUUCUUGACGCUGAGGCGCGAAAGCUAGGGGAGCAAACGGG
rnacentral:rRNA from 1 species